AGUCAUUUUUUCCAAAGCAAAGAGGAUGAAUAUGCAAACACUCUUUAUAUUUAUGGAAUUCAUUUGCUAAAAAUUUGAAUAUAUUUAUAAAUAGGAAAGUGGUAGCUUUCAGAUUUUUUUUUUCUUUUUUUUGAGACGGAGUCUUACUCUGUUACUCAGGCUGGAGUGCAAUGGAACCAUCUCAGCUCACUGCAACCUCCACUUCCCGGAUUCAAGCGAUUCUCCUGCCUCAGCCUCCGGAGUAGCUGGGAUUACAGGCGCGUGCCACCACGCCCGGCCAAUUUUUGUAUUUUUAAUAGAGACAGGGUUUCACCAUGUUGGCCAGGCUGGUCUUGAACUCCUGACCUCAGGUGAUCCACCCGCCACGGCCUCCCAAAGUGCUGGGAUUACAGGUGUGAGCCACGAUGCCCAGCCCAGAUUUAAAUUAUUGGGUAAAAGAGCACUGAUUUUUUUAAAAAAUUGCCUGCUAAUAAAGAUGCCUUUCGAAAGACAUGGAAUCCCAAGUAUACACUACGUAGCCAUUUUGAUGGAGUACGGGCAUUAGCUUUUCAUCCUGUAGAACCUGUGCUGGUUACU
rnacentral:sRNA from 1 species